rnacentral:rRNA from 1 species
GAGUUUGAUCAUGGCUCAGGAUGAACGCUAGCGGCAGGCUUAAUACAUGCAAGUCGAACGGUAAGUAUUUUAGCAAUAAGAUACGAGAGUGACGUACGGGUGCGUAACACGUAUGCAACCUACCUUGUACAGGAGUAUAGCUCGGGGAAACUCGAAUUAACACUCCAUAACGUAGCGGAGAGGCAUCUCUUUGCUACUAAAACUCCGGUGGUACAAGAUGGGCAUGCGUCUGAUUAGUUAGUUGGCGGGGUAAUGGCCCACCAAGACGAUGAUCAGUAGGGGACCUGAGAGGGUGAUCCCCCACACUGGCACUGAGAUACGGGCCAGACUCCUACGGGAGGCAGCAGUAGGGAAUAUUGGUCAAUGGAUGCAAGUCUGAACCAGCCAUGCCGCGUG